rnacentral:lncRNA from 1 species
UUUUUAAUAAGCUUCGUUUAUACCAAAAAUAUCAGAUAUAUUUCACAUUACACAUAUACCGCAACUUGUAUCUACAAAGAGAAUGCCUACGCUUGAACUUGCAAAAUCUAUGUUAAGGGUGAAUGCCUUUUGCACUGCACCACAUGCUAAGUUCGGUGAUAUAAUGUAAAUAUAACUUGUAACCUUAAUGCUACAUACAUCCUAACUCCUUAAUUUAUCCCUAUUUUUUUUAUAGCAAUUCCCCAUUUACACACUAAUUAAAAUAAGUACGAACUAUAAUUAAUUAUUAAAUAUAUUUAACUGAAAAUAAAAGUUAAGGGUGAUAAAUAUGAUACAAAUAUAUCCAUCAAUUUUUCUUAAAUAGGUCAUAAAUAGGUUUACAUGACAUGAAUACUUCUUUUACCUAAUACAAGCAUGAAAGGAAUAAUUAAUUUACUGUAAAUAUGUAUAUUAGUUGUUUUUUAAUUAUAUCACCACAUAUUAAUUGUUAUUUGUAUCAUAAACGAGUAAAUGAAUUGAGAUGGUCCAACAUCUAUAUGAAGUGAUUAUUACUUGUGUCAUCUCAUGUCAACCCUUUAUUAAUCGUAUCAAUUUAUGUCUAUACGAAUUUUAAAAAAUCACAUGGUAUACGUAUCAUUUAAUCAUGUAAUGACCUAUAGUGCCACCUUUGAAGAUCAGGGAGUAACUAAUGUAGUGAUGACUCCCUUGAUGCUUUUUGCAUUCCUGAAUAAUUGGCUUUACUGUUGGGAAUACUCUUCUUAUUGGAAGAAAUCCCAAUUUUUUUAUGCCUUGUAGGUAUUAGCUCACCUCCCCUUGUUGCCAUUAGCCAUUUUUGCACAUGUGUCAUUAAUCUAUUCAAGAAGUGUUGACAUUGGUGUGAUUUAUUGUACCUAUGAUGCGGACACUUCAAAAGUAACCCGUUGAAUCACUCCCAUGUUUCGAGAAAUUAUUCGUCUUCUCUUUGAGUAAACUCUAAGUUUUCCUACAAAUAGCAUUGACUUUAUAAACUGGGAAAUAUUUAUUUAAAAAUUUAGUUAUUAUUUAUUUCCAUAAUGUGAUACUAUUGGCAGGCAAUGUAUUUGACCAAGAAAGAACUCUAUUCUUUAGAGAAAAUAGAAAUAAUCUAAACUUAACAUCUUCACCCGAAAAAUUUUCAUGUUUAAAAUUUGACAAACAAUAUCAAAAUCAUUCAAAGGAUUGUAUAAGUCUUCAUUUUCUAAACUAUAAAAUGAUUAAAGAUAGUUUAGCACAUUAGAUUUUAGUUUCAAACUCCUAGUAGCUACAUUUAGGUAUAUUAUGCAUAAAGUGGUCAAAUUAGCUAAUGGACUGAAGUAGUCUUUAAAUGGCCUUUCUCAUGGUGCUUGUGGUUGUUGUUGCACUAAAUCCAUUUCAAUGUUAUUCAUAAUCUUACUCUAUGAUGCAAUAUGUCUACGUAUGUAAAAUGUCUUUUCUAGUUCAAGGUCUAUAGGUUCGAGAUCAUGUGAUUAUGAUCUACGACUAUGCAUGCAAAGAACAAAUAAAAGAUUAAGAAUAAAACUAAUGAAAAUAAAGAGAAAGGAAAAGUUAUGAUACUAAUCUUAGUAUGUUGUUACAUAUAUCUACGAAAACACACUUAAAAUUUACACAUAAAGGUAUUUACAUUAUUUUUAGGGGUGGGCACUAUUUAGUUUAGUUCGGUUCAGCCUUAGAACCGACCAAAUUGAAACCAAAUGGUUCAUAAAUUUAUGAACCAAAUGCAAACCAAAUUAUAGAACCGAACCGAACCAAAUUAAUUUGGUUCAAUUCAGUUCGAUUCUAUAAUUUGUUUCGGUUCAGUUUGAUUUUAUCAUAUAUAUUCAUUAUUCAAUAAAAAAAAUACAAUAAUAAUACACUAGUAAUACAACAAUAAUCUUGAGUCUAUAAAUUAACAAACAAUAAAUAACAUAAUAAAAUCUAACAAUAGUAAAUUAAUAUAAUAAAUUCUAAAAAUAAUCUAGAAAUCCAUAAAUAAUAACCAACAUAAUAAAAUCUAACAAUAAUAAAUUAAGAUAAUAAAGUUCAACAAUAAUCUAGAAAAAUCGACUACACAUUAGAAAAUAAACUUCAAACUUUAAUUACCGACGAGUACUCUCCCAAUCACCACUUUUUUAUCUUUUAACUUCCACAUUCACAAUACUUACAUUAUCUCUCAAAGUCAAAGUGAGCCAUUAGCAAAGCAUUAACAAUUAAAUAAAAUGAAAUAAAGUGUAUGCUAUGGCAUAUAUAAUCACAUGUAUUAACUAACUAACAAACAAAAAUAAAAAAGGAUAAAUUCUGAACCAUUUUUUAUUUUUAUUUUUAUUUUUCUUAAACCAUUUGUUUCGGUAAUUUGGUUCGGUUUUAAACCAAACCAAAUAAAAAACCAAAUGGUUCAGAAUUUCUGAACCAUUUGGUUUUAUGCUCCGAAUCGAACUGAACCGAACCGAAUUACCAUAAUAUGGUUCGAUUCGAUUUGGUUCAAACUGAACCAAACUAAAUGCCCACCCUUAAAUUUAUUUACAUAGAAAAUCAACUCUACAAAUGAAAAUGACUUACUUCGACAACGGUACCAAAAACUUGUUGUGCAAAUUUUAUUGAACUUCAAACGUUCUAAUUUAUUAUAGUAUAAAUUAAUGGUGGCGAGUACAAUCCUACGAGGAGGUAAAUUUAACUAUGUGUAUGUAACGCCACAAUUUACAUAACAUUAAAUUAUGGAAAUUGGGCUUUCAUUAGGAAUCAUGCGUGGCCUAUAACCUUUAUUAGAAAGGGAUAUUAAAUUAUAAAUAGGGGUUAUUUAUGAAAUAGAGUUCGAAAAGGGUUAUUUUUCCAAAUUAAAUAGGGUUUCUUAAGACUCCCUAUAAAUUCAUACUUUUCCCCUUCCAUAACCCUUAGUCCACGACAUUUAUUCUUUUUCUCUGCUGCCCUUUACGCUCCUACCCAAACCCUAGGAUUCAAGCCUUUGUUUAGGAGAGAAUCAAAGCGACGGGUAAGUUAUUCUCCCUAUUUUCAGCAUAUUCCAAUCACUCUAUUUAGGGUUUAUAUUGGCACGAUUUUAGAUUUCUAUAGAUCAUAAUGCAUGAUUUAGGAUGUAUUUAGGCUUUGUUUAGGGUUUUGAUUUAUUAUGAGUUUAGUUAAUUAAUCCUUGACGUAUUAAGCACACAGGAUAAUUCUGGACAGCAUGAGUAUCUCGAAGUUAAACCUAUAUUUUCUGAAUGCGUUCUCUUAUGAAAUUUAUAUUUCUGGAAACUAGACAUGUAGGGCUUCUUGAAUAAAUUUUAUUUCAUUAAAUUCGACUUCGUUUUUAAUUUUAUAUGUAUUUUCGAAAUAGAAACCACUGCACUAGAAAAUUGCGAUUCCAGCAUUGCGAUCGGAUUCACAAGAUUCUUUGUACUA